rnacentral:rRNA from 1 species
AGAGUUUGAUUAUGGCUCAGGAUGAACGCUAGCGACAGGCUUAACACAUGCAAGUCGAGGGGCAGCAUAAAAGUAGCAAUACUUGGUGGCGACCGGCGCACGGGUGAGUAACGCGUAUGCAACCUACCUAUCAGAGGGGAAUAACCCGGCGAAAGUCGGACUAAUACCGCAUAAAACAGGGACACCGCAUGGUGAUAUUUGUUAAAGAAAUUCGCUGAUAGAUGGGCAUGCGUUCCAUUAGGUAGUUGGUGAGGUAACGGCUCACCAAGCCGACGAUGGAUAGGGGAACUGAGAGGUUGGUCCCCCACACUGGUACUGAGACACGGACCAGACUCCUACGGGAGGCAGCAGUGAGGAAUAUUGGUCAAUGGGCGAGAGCCUGAACCAGCCAAGUCGCGUGAAGGAAGAAGGAUCUAUGGUUCGUAAACUUCUUUUGCAGGGGAAUAAAGUGCAGGACGUGUCCUGUUUUGUAUGUACCCUGAGAAUAAGGAUCGGCUAACUCCGUGCCAGCCGCUGC